rnacentral:rRNA from 1 species
GAGGGGAAUCUUAGACAAUGGGGGAAACCCUGAUCUAGCCAUGCCGCGUGAGCGAUGAAGGCCUUAGGGUUGUAAAGCUCUUUCAGCUGGGAAGAUAAUGACGGUACCAGCAGAAGAAGCCCCGGCUAACUCCGUGCCAGCAGCCGCGGUAAUACGGAGGGGGCUAGCGUUGUUCGGAAUUACUGGGCGUAAAGCGCACGUAGGCGGAUCAGAAAGUCAGAGGUGAAAUCCCAGGGCUCAACCUUGGAACUGCCUUUGAAACUCCUGGUCUUGAGGUCGAGAGAGGUGAGUGGAAUUCCGAGUGUAGAGGUGAAAUUCGUAGAUAUUCGGAAGAACACCAGUGGCGAAGGCGACUUACUGGACGACUGUUGACGCUGAGGUGCGAAAGCGUGGGGAGCAAACAGGAUUAGAAACCCCGGUAGUCC